rnacentral:rRNA from 1 species
CUGUUUUACAAAAACAUGGCUCUCUGUAUAUUGAAGAUAGAGAGUCGGACCUGCCCGGUGAAUUUUUUAACGGCCGCGGUACUCUGACCGUGCAAAGGUAGCAAAAUCAUUUGCCUUAUAAUUGAAGGCUAGAAUGAAUGGUUUGACAAGAAUACAACUGUCUCUUUACAAUUACAUAAAAUUUUAUCUGCAGUUGAAGAAGCCUGCAUUUGAAUAAAAGACAAGAAGACCCUAUCGAGCUUAAAAAAAACUGGUGGAAUAACAAACUUAAUCCUAACUUAUAAAUAAAUAAAUAGUCAACUACUGGAAAUUUUGGUUGGGGCGACCGGGGAACAAAAAAAACUUCCUUUAUAAAAAUUUAGAUGCCCAAAUAUUGAUCCAGCAUUAUAUGAUUAAAGAAAUUAGUUACCGUAGGGAUAACAGCAUUAUCUUUUUUAAGAGUUCUUAUCGAAAAAAAGGUUUGUGACCUCGAUGUUGGACCAGAAUAUCCUAAAGAUGCAGCCGUCUUUAAGGGUUGGUCUGUUCGACCAUUAAAAUUCUACGUGAUCUGAUUCAGACCGG